rnacentral:rRNA from 1 species
GACGAACGCUGGCGGCGUGCUUAACACAUGCAAGUCGAACGAGAGCGUAGAGAAAGCUUGCUUUUUCUACAAUCUAGUGGCAAACGGGUGAGUAACGCGUAAACAACCUGCCCUACGGAUGGGGACAACAGCUGGAAACGGCUGCUAAUACCGAAUACGUUCCGAAAGUCGCAUGACUAUCGGAAGAAAGGAUGGCCUCUAUUUAUAAGCUAUCGCCGGAGGAGGGGUUUGCGUCUGAUUAGCUAGUUGGAGGGGUAACGGCCCACCAAGGCGACGAUCAGUAGCCGGUCUGAGAGGAUGAACGGCCACAUUGGAACUGAGACACGGUCCAGACUCCUACGGGAGGCAGCAGUGGGGAAUCUUCCGCAAUGGGCGAAAGCCUGAAGGAGCAACGCCGCGUGAGUGAAGACGGCCUUCGGGUUGUAAAGCUCUGUUAUACGGGACGAAUAAUCUUGUGGUUAAUACCCAUGAGAAGUGACGGUACCGUAAGAGAAAGCCACGGCUAACUACGUG